rnacentral:lncRNA from 1 species
CCAGGACGUCCACAGCAGAGCAAGAGAGACACGUUUAAACAAAUUACAGCUCACUAUCACAGACGAGGAGAUUACUCAGCUCUGGCUAGGACUUCGUAGAAGCCCAACCCCAAAGGAAGGUAAAACAUCAGCUAAAGGACAUAAACCAGGGAGCGGUUUUAGAAACCCUUCCACUCAGCCUUGGCCUCCAGGGAACAGACUUCAUCUGACCCCUCAGCCAACAAACCUGAAUGCACAGAAGCUCAAACCAUCAAAUACAUACGGCUCGCCCUUUCCAAAUGAAGGCAAUGGGAGGGCAGCCCAGUCACACCUGGCUAAUGUUGAAGCUCUGCACAUCUCAGAGUCUGACCUGGAAAGUGUUGAAACACAGAGGCAGCCACUCAUCGACAUCUCCUUCGAGGAGCAGAAAGUCCUCCGCUCCCUAGAAAGACUCGAC